UGAGGAAUAUUGCACAAUGGGCGAAAGCCUGAUGCAGCAACGCCGCGUGAGGGAAGAAGGCCCUCGGGUCGUAAACCUCUUUUCUGGGGGACGAGUAAGGACGGUACUCCAGGAAUAAGUCUCGGCUAACUACGUGCCAGCAGCCGCGGUAAAACGUAGGAGGCGAGCGUUAUCCGGAUUUACUGGGCGUAAAGCGUACGCAGGUGGCUUCGUUAGUCGGACAUGAAAGCUCCUGGCUUAACUGGGAGAGGUUGUUCGAUACUGCGGGGCUUGAGGUUGGGAGAGGGACGUGGAAUUCCCGGUGUAGUGGUGGAAUGCGUAGAUAUCGGGAGGAACACCAGUGGCGCAAGCGGCGUCCUGGGCCACACCUGACGCUGAGGUACGAAAGCGUGGGUAGCAAACAG
rnacentral:rRNA from 1 species